ACUCGAUGGCUAAAGGAGCUGAUGGCGUGUCCUUUAAACUAUCUGUCGGGUUUAGACUUCGGAAGAUCCCUCGAAUGGGACUCCGAAGCAGGUGCGAGGCCUGUAACGAAGUGAUACCCGUCAGUUUGAGCCUCUAUAGAGUCGGGUUACUUGAGAGUGUAGCCCAAAGCGGAAGGUAAACCCCUUCUAAAACUAAAUAUUACCACGAGACCGAUAGCGAACAAGUACCGCGAGGGAAAGUUGAAAAGAACUUUGAAGAGAGAGUUCAAAAGGGCGUGAAACCGCUUAGAAUAAAACGGACAGAGCCGUCGGGAGUCUCCGGGAAUCAGUCUUACGAUACGCGAACGUGUCGUUGUUCGGAACGGUAAAGUCCGACUGCGAAACGCUAGUAACGUUCGUUUGGCGCAUUUCUCGGAGAUAAGCACCGCGACCGAUACACGCAGGUCGACGAAGCGUUAAGAUUGAGGUCGAGACUCUUCGCGGAGACUCGUAACCAGCCUGUUCGCUGUAAAUUUAAUCGUUGAACCGUAGUAUCAAGCGCCUAAGUAAUUUUGAUAUACGUCGGUUGUAAAGCUCGCUCGAGUAAUGGCUAGUCGGUCAAUAGUUUCGGUCGCUUGCUCGCAGGUACCGAUCUAUUCGAUUCGGCUUAAAAGUUAUC
rnacentral:rRNA from 1 species